rnacentral:rRNA from 1 species
ACUGCAGGACACAUUUGAACAUCGACAUUUCGAACGCACAUUGCGGUCCGUGGAGAAACAUCCAGGACCACUCCUGUCUGAGGGCCG